UUUUCAGAUAACUGCGUUUUAAAUUCAUUUUUAUGACUGUCGCUAGCAGACAUUCAUUCAUGGAUAACUAUCUCUUAAUGACAUAUUUGAUGUUGCAUAUCUGUAAUAACAAUAAUGGCAUUCAGAUCAAAUUAAAUCUCAGCGGAAACUGAAAGGGGCCCUUAAUGUUCCCCUCUGGCAGCUGAUAGAGAUUACAAAAGAAGGAUGGUUUGAAAAAGGUCAAUAAUAAACCACAUGUGACUUUCAAAAUGAUUGUAGGUAGGCCCUGACUGGUUAUUGAUGUUGGGAGUGGUAGUCCAGCACAUUCUGAUUUAAUGCUUGAAGUUUCAUUGAGAUGUGCCUGAUUGGCACUCAUGUAGUAGUUUACAGUGCAAUAUUACAUUUAUAGUAUUAGCUAGCCAAUUCUUCAAUUGUAAAAAGAACUCAGAGAUCCAUUCUUCACUUGGGGGGUGGACUGCUCCCUGUCCUGCUACAUGGUCAGUCCCUUCUCCUCCAUUGCCAGGGAACACCAGCACCUUCCAGGCAGGUAUCAUCCCCUCUGCAUGUGCUCAUCUUUCCAGGUGGGUACCAAACCCGCAUUGUCCACUGGGCAGUAGGAAGUCUCUCCAUGCAUCUGUAUACUUGUCGGACAGCUGUGCUGCUUCAUCCAUGGCACAUGUUGUUUGAUCCCGGAUCCACUCCUGGAGCUCAAGCAAAGUGUUCCAGGAGUACCAGCCACAACUUCCACCUUACCAACUUGUGAUCCCUGCCAUCCUUGCCACCAGUUGGAACCAGCCCAGUGUAGGAGUCCUGAGUCCUUUGAACAAUUCUCCAUGAAUUUUCUUUGGUAGACUUCUGCGAUUAUGGCCAGAAGAUGCUCCUUCACUGCAACAUAGUCUCUGCUUAAACUGUCUGCAACAGCCCAGUAUGCCUCUGGUGAUCUUCUAGUGAGCUUGCCUGAUAGUACAAUUACUUAAUCCUCAGGGCUCAACUUAUGCAGGGUAUGCUGCGUUCGGAAGCCAUUACUAUCUACUUCAGUUUCAUCAAAAGUCUUACAAGGUUGAUAGGAGAACUUCCUCUGUGCUCUGUAUCUCCACUUGUUAAAUCCGAUUUUUUGCAUCCUCGGCUAUCUGGUCUAUCUUUUGGGUCACAACUUUGUGAGGUGGGUUGGAGCCAUAGUACUGGUGUCUCGGCUCUCAGCUAAAAUACCUUUCAGAGCACAUCAACCUGCUAUUGUCCUGAUCUCCCUACAUUCAUUCAGUAAUCAGCCCAUAAUUCUCUUUCCUCCAGCUGCUUUUCCUUUGGCUUUGACCAGAUUGUUCAGUGAUGUUCUCUUUAUCUUUUGAUAGACCUGCUUUAUACCCUGCUGGGCUUGAGCUUGACAUUUUCUUUUGUAGAAUCCGAUGCAGUUCUGAAAAAAACUGGGCCUUGU